CAGCAGCCGCGGGAAUACGGAGGGUGCAAGCGUUAUCCGGAUUUAUUGGGUUUAAAGGGUCCGUAGGCGGAUCUGUAAGUCAGUGGUGAAAUCUCACAGCUUAACUGUGAAACUGCCAUUGAUACUGCAGGUCUUGAGUAAAUUUGAAGUGGCUGGAAUAAGUAGUGUAGCGGUGAAAUGCAUAGAUAUUACUUAGAACACCAAUUGCGAAGGCAGGUCACUAAGAUUUAACUGACGCUGAUGGACGAAAGCGUGGGGAGCGAACAGGAUUAGAUACCCGCGUAGUCCCUGUCUCUUAUAC
rnacentral:rRNA from 1 species